rnacentral:misc_RNA from 1 species
CAACCCUCAAGCGCUGUUCCGCUUGGAGUUGGGGCUCUUGCAGCGAGCACUUUUAGUGUUUUGCAAGCCCUGAAAUUCAGCGGCGGGCCCGCCGGCACACCGAGCGCAGUAAUAUUACUUCUCGCUUAGGGCGUGCGGCGCGGCGCAGCCGACCUCUAAAACUUUCCAA